AGAGUUUGAUCCUGGCUCAGGAUGAACGCUGGCGGCGUGCCUAACACAUGCAAGUCGAACGGUCGAAAGACAGUGGCGCACGGGUGAGUAACACGUGGCUGAUCUACCUCGAAGCCGGGGAUAACUUUGGGAAACCAGGGCUAAUACCCGAUAAGCUCCCGCCAAUCAGAACAGUGGGAGAAAAGGUUAACUACUUCGAGAUGAGGCUGCGGUCCAUCAGCUAGAUGGUGAGGUAACGGCUCACCAUGGCGACGACGGAUAGGGGGCCUGAGAGGGUGACCCCCCACACUGGGACUGAGACACGGCCCAGACUCCUACGGGAGGCAGCAGUGAGGGAUAUUGCACAAUGGGCGCAAGCCUGAUGCAGCGACGCCGCGUGGGUGAUGAAGGUCUUCGGAUCGUAAAACCCUUUUCUGUGUGACGAGACAAGGACGGUAGCACAGGAAUAAGCCUCGGCUAACUACGUGCCAGCAGCCGCGGUAAUUC
rnacentral:rRNA from 1 species